ACACUGGCAGGAAGAAUAAAUUUGCCUGGGAGCCAGGAGUGGAACCAGUAAUAACCCCAUUAAUUAUCACCCACAUUGACCCACUGGGGAAUUUGGAGCUUCUUCUCCUCACAAUUCUGGGGUCUGGACACCUGCAAAGGGACAGGGCCAAGGUCCCACUGAACUACAAUCUAUGGCUGCCACCAGAAGACUAUGGACUUCUUUGUAUCCGGGAACCAACAGAUUGAAAGAAGAGUUAUCAUCCUGAUAGGAAGAAUCAACUGUGAACAGUGGGCAAAGAAUUCUUAGAAGACAGUAAUUUCUCUACCAGGCCCUCUGCUGCCCUAUCAGAGGAUAAUGGACAUCUUGUCUGCCUCAGCACUCUUCUGACCUUAUCAGAACAAGCCCUUGGGACUGAAAUCAAGGCCUAGAGAGGGGAGAGAGGAAGAACCUGACCCUGACUCUGAGG
rnacentral:lncRNA from 1 species